UCCUGGUUCUGAUACUAUAAUGCUACAAAUACCUUGGAGCCAAAACAGCCACGUUCCUCAAAAUCCGGUCAUUCUACCAUAUAAAGUGAAAAAGUGACAAGGGCUAUAGAGGAUUUCCUGUUCAUUUUAUCUCCUGAGGAGCACAAGUCUCCUGGCAACUGCAUACAGAAUUAUCAAAAGCACAAAUCUUCUACAGUCUCUGCACUUGACCUCCAGUGUCCAGUCUCCUCAGCGUGAAAGAAACAUUCAACAUUUCCC